CGGACUCACCAAGCCCAACGCCGUCGAGCCGCCUCAGGUCUAUCUGCUGCACAGAGGCCCAAGAAUUCGGUGCAGUAGCUAAUGGCUUGUAUCUCCUUGCAGGCAAGUGGACAAAGACUGUGAAUUACUGGAGGCAGAGAGGAUCAUGGAUUACAGUCUUUUGGUCGGUAUUCACUUCAAGGACAGAUGCAAAGAUAAGUUAAAACGAUGCAUGCUUCUCACACAUGCUUGGAGCUGCAAGAUGCAUUUGGAGUUAGGAGACUGAAAAAUCUAUUUGGUUGUUACAGCAUCAAUGGUGACAAUGGUUGUUACAGACUGCAUUUGGAGCAUCAAAUUUCUAUUGUGGGGUUCAGGAUACUUACCUGUUUCAUAAGGGCUUCACAUCUUAUCUAAUGUGGUGGUCAAACAACCUUCCUGAUAUUUAUUCCUAACUAUGCAGAAUACUGCUAAUGGCUAUCCAGACUCGGAGGAGAAAAAUGGUUCUCAGAAAUAUGAUGUCUUCUUUCAUUUUUAUGUUUUAUUACAUUUGGGUACUACUACUCAUCUCAUAUAAGAGGAAGUGUUGGAAAAUAGAGAGAAGGAUAAGAGUUAGAGAACUUAGAAGCAAAAUGGUUCUCAGAAAGAUAUCAUCUAGGAGGCUUCACUGUGCAAAAUCCACCACGAAGCACAGAAGAAUAUUUUAACUUGUGCCAUGCUAGAGCUAGAAAUAUUAUUGAGAGAGCCUUUGGAAGGCUAAAGGGUCGCUGGGCUAUUUUAAGGUCUCCGUCAUUUUUUCCGGUCAUCGCGUGGAAGAGGAAAAAGUAAAAGGGUGUGGACUUAUUUUGAGGAUGAAGCAUUGGUGAAGGCACUCUAUGAGCUAUCCCUUGAUCCAAAGUGGAAAAGUGAGGGUAGUUUCAAGAAUGGUUAUCUAUCUGUCCUAGAAGUUACACUUGCUGAAAAAAUUCCAGGUUGUGGCCUCACUUCAAUUCCACAUAUUGAGUCUAGGGUCAGACACUUUAGAACAAAGUAUGGUGCAAUUGAGGUUAUGCUAGCAAAUAGUGGGUUUUCUUGGGAUGAGAACAGGAAGAUGGUACAAUGUGAGAAGCAACAAUAUGAGGACCAUUGUAAGAGAUAUCCUGAUGCAAAGAGAUGACCAUGCUUUUUGCACUUCCAGAGACUCUAAGGAGGGAGUUCAUACUACAUAUGAUCCAAUUCAUGUUCUCGUUGAGGACCUGUUAGUUACAACCAAGGAGGUUCAACAGGAACAAAAGAUUCCAGAGGAAUGUGGUGGUUAUCAGCCUAUGAUGAAUCAACCUCAACUAUGAGAUAAUGACAGUAUUGUGAUUCUGAAUUUGGAAAUAUAUGCUGUG